rnacentral:rRNA from 1 species
UACGAAGGGGGCUAGCGUUGCUCGGAAUCACUGGGCGUAAAGCGCACGUAGGCGGACUCUUAAGUCGGUGGUGAAAUCCUGGAGCUCAACUCCAGAACUGCCUUCGAUACUGGGAGUCUUGAGUCCGGGAGAGGUGAGUGGAACUGCGAGUGUAGAGGUGAAAUUCGUAGAUAUCAGGAAGAACACCCGUGGCUAAGGCGGCUCUCUAGUACGGUACUGACGCUGAGACGCGAAAGCGUGGGGAGCGAACAGG